rnacentral:rRNA from 1 species
UACGUAGGGUGCGAGCGUUGUCCGGAAUUAUUGGGCGUAAAGAGCUUGUAGGCGGUCUGUCGCGUCUGCUGUGAAAAUCCGGGGCUCAACCCCGGACUUGCAGUGGGUACGGGCAGACUAGAGUGUGGUAGGGGAGACUGGAAUUCCUGGUGUAGCGGUGAAAUGCGCAGAUAUCAGGAGGAACACCGAUGGCGAAGGCAGGUCUCUGGGCCGAUACUGACGCUGAGGAGCGAAAGCAUGGGUAGCGAACAGG